UGCACGCCGCGGGUAAAUUCGAAGGGUGGCGAGCCGUUUAUUCGUAAAUUUACUGCGGCGUUAAGUAGACCGCCGGGCGGUUCUGUUAAAUUAGAAGUUAAAAUUCCCCCGGCUCUUAACUCUCGGGAACCUCCUUUCGAAAAUUGGCAGGCUUGAGUCUUCUUAGAGGGGGGGUAGAAUUCCAGGUUGUAGCGGUGAAAAUGCGUAGAGAUUUGGAGCGAAUACCGGUGGCGAAAGGCGGCCCCCCUGGACGAAAGAAUGACGCUCCAGGGUGCGGAAAGCGUGGGGAGCAAACAGGAUUAAAAUACCCUGGUAGUCCACGCCCUUAAACGAUGUUGAACUUGAGGCUGUUUCCCUGAGGAGUGGCUUUCCGGAGCUAACGCGUUAAGUCGACCGCCUGGGGAGUACGGCCGCAAGCUCAAAACUCAAAAGAAUUGACGGGGGGCCGCACAAGCGGUGGAGCAUGUGGUUUAAUUUGAUGCAACGCGAAGAACCUUACCUGGCCUUGACAUCCAGAGAACUUAGCAGAGAUGCUUCGGUGCCUUCGGGAACUCUGAGACAGGUGCUGCAUGGCGGUCGUCAGCUCGUGUUGUGAAAUAUUGGGUUUACUCCCGCCACCAGCGCAACCCUUAUCCUUUGUUAUCAGCGGGUGGAGCCCGGAACUCAAAGGAGACUGCCGGUGAUAAACCGGAGGAAGGUGGGGAUGACGUCAAGUCAUCAUGGCCCUUACGGCCAGGGCUCCACACGUGCUACAAUGGCGCAUACAAAAAGAAGCGACCUCGCGAGAGCAAGCGGACCUCAUAAAAUAAGGAGUUGAUAUGAUCGUACGUUGGUAAUU
rnacentral:rRNA from 1 species